GACGAACGCUGGCGGCGUGCUUAACACAUGCAAGUCGAACGGACAGGCCCUGCUUUUGUUGGGUUCUCGAGUGGCGAACGGGUGAGUAACACGUGUGUAACCUGCCCUUGACUUUGGGAUAACUUCAGGAAACUGGGGCUAAUACCGGAUAGGAGCUCCUGCUGCGUGGGGGGGGUUGGAAAGAUUCGGCUGUUGUGGCUGGACUAGCGGCUUAUCAGCUUCUUGGUGGGGUAGUGGCGUACCAAGGUUUUGACGGGUAGCCGGCCUGAGAGGGUGACCGGGCACCUUGGGACUGCGGUACGGCCCAGACUGCAACGGGAGGCAGCAGUGGGGAAUAUUGCGGAGUGGGCGGAAGCGUGAUGCAGCAACGCCGCGUGCGGGAUGACGGCCUUCGGGUUGUAAACCGCUUUGGCCUGUGACGAAGCGGGAGUGACGGUAAUGGGUAAGGAAGCAACGGCUAACUACGUG
rnacentral:rRNA from 1 species